rnacentral:rRNA from 1 species
UACGUAGGGUGCGAGCGUUAAUCGGAAUUACCGGGCGUAAAGCGUGCGCAGGCGGUGAUGUAAGACCGAUGUGAAAUCCCCGGGCUUAACCUGGGAACUGCAUUGGUGACUGCAUUGCUGGAGUAUGGCAGAGGGGGGUGGAAUUCCACGUGUAGCAGUGAAAUGCGUAGAGAUGUGGAGGAACACCGAUGGCGAAGGCAGCCCCCUGGGCCAAUACUGACGCUCAUGCACGAAAGCGUGGGGAGCAAACAGG